rnacentral:tRNA from 1 species
GCCUGGGUGGCUCAGUCGGUUGAGCAUCCGACUUUGGCUCAGGUCAUGAUCUCACAGUUUGUGGGUUCAAGCCCCGCAUCAGGCU